GAUGAACGCUAGCGAUAGGCUUAACACAUGCAAGUCGAGGGGCAGCACAAGGUAGCUUGCUAUCUGGGUGGCGACCGGCGCACGGGUGCGUAACGCGUAUGCAACUUGCCCUAUACAGGAGGAUAACCCGUCGAAAGACGGACUAAUACUGCGUAUGCUCACAACUUGGCAUCAAGUGGUGAGGAAAGAAAUUCGGUAUAGGAUAGGCAUGCGUCCCAUUAGCUUGUUGGUGAGGUAACGGCUCACCAAGGCAACGAUGGGUAGGGGAACUGAGAGGUUUAUCCCCACACUGGUACUGAGACACGGACCAGACUCCUACGGGAGGCAGCAGUGAGGAAUAUUGGGCAAUGGGCGCGAGCCUGAACCAGCCAAGUCGCGUGAAGGAUGACUGUCUUAUGGAUUGUAAACUUCUUUUAUACGGGAAUAACAAGAGUCACGGGUGACUCCCUGCAUGUACCGUAUGAAUAAGCAUCGGCUAACUCCGUG
rnacentral:rRNA from 1 species